rnacentral:piRNA from 1 species
GAGUUUUUCUCGUCGAUCGAA